CCGCGGCCAGCCGCGCCUGCUUGGAGUCCCCUGGCCAGCGGCCGGCCGCUGGGGCCGAGUAUUGUCUUAAAGGCCGAAAAAAGAGGAAAGCGGGGCGGGCGGGGAAUUGCUCAGUGGCCGGGAGAGGAUUUAUAACAUUUUCUUUCGUCGUUUGCAAAAUGUAUCAAAGUGACGGCAUCGCCUGGACAGGACCGUGAGGGCGCGGACAAGCGUUUCCCCCCUACCGGAAAUCUGAUGGGCUUAUGACAUCAUGGCUGGCUGCUGAGCGAUGAAGAGGAUGCCACAAAGAAAUCCGACAUAUCAGAUGAAUUCUGAAAUCAGUUUCCCUCCGGCUGUAGGAACAGGCGUGAAGUCAGGAGACUGUGAGCUUUGUUUAAAAAACAAAAAAUAAAACUAAGAUACGACCUGUAUUAAAUGCGAUUUUUAAAAAAAACAAACAGACCUUUUGGACAUCAUCCUAUUUUAAUAGAAGUGCUGGUUUUUAUGAAACGAAAGCGGCUAAUAAAUCAGACCUGAAGCUGCCUGUGAA